AGAAUCAACGCUGGCGGCGUGCCUAACACAUGCAAGUCGAACGAGAAAGUGGAGCAAUCCAUGAGUAAAGUGGCUCACGGGUGAGUAACACGUGACUAACCUACCCUUGAGUGGGGGAUAACCUAGAGAAAUCUGGGCUAAUACCGCAUAAUACCUUCGGGUCAAAGGAGCAAUUCGCUUAAGGAGGGGGUCGCGGCCGAUUAGUUAGUUGGCGGGGUAAUGGCCCACCAAGACUAUGAUCGGUA
rnacentral:rRNA from 1 species